rnacentral:tRNA from 1 species
GACCUUGUGGCCUAACGGAUAAGGCGUCUGACUUCGGAUGAGAAGAUUGCAGGUUCGAGUCCUGCCAGGGUUG